rnacentral:lncRNA from 1 species
AAUAUAUCCUGGAGUCAUGGGCUUCCAUAUAGAGCUAGAGCUACGUGGGUAUGGUAGCGCUCAUAUGUGCUCUAAGGAUGCGGUUCCUUGAUUGGGGUGAAGCCAGAGUAAUUGUCAAUGAAUGUAUGUUGUGUGUUUCGGUGUGAAGGAUAAUAUCCUAACUAGUGGUCAUGUGUAGGAGUGUGUGGUGUCUGUCUGAUACGAGAUCCACAAUGCAGGGAUAUGGGGAGCAGUGAGAAGAGGUCCGUACGUACCCAGGGCUUAGUGUAGUCAGUCUACCCCCUUGUAAUCCAUCUGCAACCGACAGUGACCCUGUCCAUAUGGCAAUCGAGUUGUUUCUAUAGAAAUGGGCUUGUUUGGUCGGAUGUGCGAGAUUUGGGUCCUUUUCCCGUGUGUUAGAGCCCAUCCGGGUUGGGCGCGGUAGUUAUUAACCUGGUCGAGGUUCUUGCUAGUUAUCAUGUUGUCGUGUUGCGGCAUGUCAAGGUGAGGUCAGCCGUGAGGGCCCUUGCUUGGGUCUGUGUAGGUGCGGAG